rnacentral:tRNA from 1 species
AUUUAAAUAGCUUAAUUAGAGUAUAAUAUUGAAGAUAUUAGGGUGAUUAUUUAAUCUUUAAAUA